rnacentral:rRNA from 1 species
ACUCCUACGGGAGGCAGCAGUGGGGAAUAUUGGACAAUGGGCGAAAGCCUGAUCCAGCCAUGCCGCGUGUGUGAAGAAGGUCUUCGGAUUGUAAAGCACUUUAAGUUGGGAGGAAGGGCAUUAACCUGAAUACGUUAGUGUUUUGACGUUACCAACUAGAAUAAGCACCGGCUAACUUCGUGCCAGCAGCCGCGUAAUACGAAGGGUGCAAGCGUUAAUCGGAAUUACUGGGCGUAAAGCGCGCGUAGGUGGUUCAGCAAGUUGAAGGUGAAAUCCCCGGGCUCAACCUGGGAACUGCCUCCAAAACUACUGAGCUAGAGUACGGUAGAGGGU